rnacentral:rRNA from 1 species
UACAGAGGGGGCACGCGUUGUUCGGAAUUACUGGGCGUAAAGGGCGCGUAGGCGGCCUGUUAAGUCGAACGUGAAAUCCCCGGGCUCAACCCGGGAACUGCGUCCGAUACUGGCAGGCUUGAAUUCGGGAGAGGGAUGCGGAAUUCCAGGUGUAGCGGUGAAAUGCGUAGAUAUCAGGAGGAACACCGGUGGCGAAGGCGGGUCUCUGGGCCGAUACUGACACUGAGGAGCGAAAGCGUGGGGAGCGAACAGG